AAAGGAAGAAGAUCUAAGAAUGCUUCUUUAAGAAGCUUUCUUGAUGGAGGGGAGUGGCAGACGGGUGAGUAACGCGUGGGAACAUACCCUUUUCUACGGAAUAGCUCUGGGAAACUGGAAUUAAUACCGUAUACGCCCUACGGGGGAAAGAUUUAUCGGGGAAGGAUUGGCCCGCGUUGGAUUAGCUAGUUGGUGGGGUAAAGGCCUACCAAGGCGACGAUCCAUAGCUGGUCUGGGAGGAUGAUCAGCCACAUUGGGACUGAGACACGGCCCAAACUCCUACGGGAGGCAGCAGUGGGGAAUAUUGGACAAUGGGCGCAAGCCUGAUCCAGCCAUGCCGCGUGAGUGAUGAAGGCCUUAGGGUUGUAAAGCUCUUUCACCGAUGAAGAUAAUGACGGUAGUCGGAGAAGAAGCCCCGGCUAACUUCGUGCCAGCCGCCGCAGUAACAC
rnacentral:rRNA from 1 species